rnacentral:rRNA from 1 species
AUUGAACGCUGGCGGCAUGCCUUACACAUGCAAGUCGAACGGUAACAGGUCUUCGGAUGCUGACGAGUGGCGAACGGGUGAGUAAUACAUCGGAACGUGCCUAGUAGUGGGGGAUAACUACUCGAAAGAGUGGCUAAUACCGCAUGAGAUCUACGGAUGAAAGCAGGGGAUCGCAAGACCUUGUGCUACUAGAGCGGCCGAUGGCAGAUUAGGUAGUUGGUGGGAUAAAAGCUUACCAAGCCGACGAUCUGUAGCUGGUCUGAGAGGACGAUCAGCCAAACUGGGAAGGAGAAACGGCCAAGACUCCUACGGGAGGCAGCAGUGGGGAAUUUUGGACAAUGGGCGCAAGCCUGAUCCAGCAAUGCCGCGUGCAGGAUGAAGGCCUUCGGGUUGUAAACUGCUUUUGUACGGAACGAAAAGCCCUGGGUUAAUACCCUGGGGUCAUGACGGUACCGUAAGAAUAAGCACCGGCUAACUACGUGCCAGCCGCCGCGGUAAGAC